GUUACUUUUAUUUAUGUCAAGUAUAAAAGGAAUUGCAUGAUAAGUUUUUAUAUGAUAAUUUUAAUGUAGAUCUUUAUUUCUCAACAAAAACCCGUAGGCAUUAGAUAAUUCUAAAUACAGUUCAUUUAAGGGGAAAACGUAUGUUUCCUUUCAUCGACUUUUACUGUCCGAUCAUAUUGUUUUUUGGCUCCCAAUGGAACCCUAUAAAUAGAAAAAAGGGAUCCCAGUGGAAUGCAUUCGAUCUCUAGCCUAGCUUGUGCAUAAGGUUAGAGAGGAAAAUCAAGAAUCUCUUGUUACAAAGUAACAUAGGGAACAUAGUUUGAAAGAAGUUUGAAGAAUGAACCAUUGUACCUCCAAAGCCAAAGAGAAAAUUCAUGCAGUGUGCUGGAAUAUUACUAUACCAUCAUCAUCAUCAUCAUCACCAACCAUGACAAGAAGAUAUCAGCAGACCUUCAUUUCAUGGCGGUUUUUGCUUCUUUUCGUUAUCUCCCUUCUGCUAACUACCUUUCCUGUAAGUCAUCAAAUGACGAACGACGUCGACGAAUCAACAUUCGGAGGACACCGUCUGAAGAUAAAACUGAUAAGAGGUUCAGUCCGGCUUUAAAUAUCUUGAAAAUUAAUCAUCUAUAUAUGGCUUGCAACUACCAGUCUAGAUAAUCUGUCUGCCUUCGAUGAAGUUUGUUGCAUCUAAUUUUACUGUCAUGGGUUAUGCACAAUAAGUGGAUACAAGGUUUUCCCUUACGCAGUGAAUGCAUAAUAGUCAGUUCUUAAGAGUGAAAUGUCCUCUUUUUUCAUAUCGAGGAAAAGGAAAAGUUCUUCUGCGUCCGCCAUCUCUUCCGUUCUUAUGAAUUCUCUCUGAAACCUCAUGCAAUUUUUCAUCAGCAUUAUUUCUCUGAGGAAUUCCAUUGAAGCAAAGCUAUUGGGAUGAUAGUGCUGACUUUAGGUUUCUUUUCGUAAAGAGAAGUUGUAAAUAUAUAAUAAGAAAUUCGAUCUCUAUUAACCUAAAAUUGUUGCUUUUUCUUUUGUACUGCAACAACAACACUAAAUUAUUCCCGUGAAUUAUAUCAAUUUGGAAAGAAAUUAGGCUUUUUGCCGUAAAGUUAUGGCGGAGAAAACGAAGAGAGACUCAAAUUGUAAGACUAUCUUUUUUUGAAAACAUGGCUACAACAGCAAUCGAUGAUUCUGAAGGUACUAUUGUUGAUAAUGGUGUGGAGAUCAUGAUGUAGCUAUUCGUGAUUGUUUUUGGAAUCAUUAAUUGCGGUUGAAGAUAAUAAAAUUUAAAGUAGAAGCAAAUCCUAGGGUUUUAUCUGGGCUUUAGCAAGAGAAUCAAUCGCUUGAAGGAUGUAUCAGUGCCACAUCAAUGACAACGAUGGCGAAGUUUAAAAUAUAAAGUUCAACUCUAAUUAAUGGAUAUUGGUAAACCUCUUGCGAAAGGUGAUCGGGAUAGGAUAGACAGGACUGCCGCCUAUGCUAAGCAGCUAAAGUACAAUGAAGGAAGUUACUAAAUGGAAGACAUUAGUGAAGAGAAACAUGGAUGUGCCUACAAUUUUCUUUGGCAACUUAAUGUGGUGGUUGUCUCUGGGACAAAGAUGAUCGUCGGAUUGGGCGAUCCUGUGUCCUGGAAAGACUGGCAGCGAGAGUAAUUCGGGGCCGUUGAUUUGGGCGAGGUAUAUUUUUGAACAUUGGAUGCCCUGGGUUCCCGAUUUGACUGUGUUUCCUUAGACGAAAAAAAAGAAACAUGCUAUAUCUUUUCUGACUGCCACCGUUCUUCUGAAUUAUCUCUUCUGAAACUGCAUGCAAACCCUUUUCUCGAUUCUAUCUUUGAGUUCCCGAGCUUACCAUUCCAUUGAUAGGUUAAUGAACUUUCCCUGAGUAAUUCCAUUGAAGCAAAGCUGUUGGGAUAACACGUUGAUGUUUUAGGUAAUCCUAAUCUUUAUGUAUUCAAUCUAUUUUGUGCUCGAAAUAUCACUGAGGAAGGCCCAAUCAUAAUAUCACCAUGAGACAAGAUAACACCAUUGAGCUCUGUGAAAUAUGUUGGAGAUUCUACUCUUAUGCCUUGGAAAUCUCCUUCUCAUUAUUGUUUGACAGCAACAAGGAGCUUGGGUAAAUUAGGUUGCACUUGAGUUGGUUAGCUCGACCAAACUUAUCUUAUUAAUUAAAGUUUUUUGUUUGUUUUGUUUUUCUAAGCCUGAUUAUCUAGACAUGCCAGGGAAUCAAUGUUGUGUCACUUUGGGGUCCAAAUUGUUGACAUUUUCCUGGAAAAACAAGGUUCCUAAGUGGGGGUUUAAUCAACUUUCAGGAGCUCUAAUCUCUACUUGCCGAAAGUGAAAUGCUGCUCAAGACUUCGUUUCUGUAGAUGACUGCUUAGGUUUACUGAGUAAGCUGAAGGUAACCUCUCUUCUUACUAUCCCUUUAUGUCUAUGAAUAAUUUGCGCUUAAGUGUCACUAUAUUUGUUGUCUUUGCUCAAAUGGCAGAGCACAUGGUUCUCGAUCAUGUAGUUGUGGGUUCGACUCCCACAGAUGGCAUUGUUAUUAUUCGAGUAGGUGAAAACGAAUAAAAUUAUUUGCGCCAUAUAGCUAAUAUUUCCUUCCUCGCCACCCGUACCUCUUAUGAAAAACUCAAGAAAAUUGUUUUCUCCCUCUCGAUUCACCUUGCUGAGUGAUUUUGUGAUGUAAUGAUUGGAUUUGACUCAUCAGAAGCUAUCAAUGGAAGCCCGGUGUUGAUUAUAUUGUGUCAGGUGUGUCAAAAACUUUGUAAUUUAUCUUUUUUUUGUUUGCAAGUCUGUCUUCUGAUUAUUUCGAGUAAUUGAUUGCAUCAAUCUCAAUACCUCAAUUCCAAACCGAAAUUUAGCGUCAUGAAGUGGUUUGUAAGUUUGGAUUAGGAUUUUUGUUUACUUUGUUAAUCUAUCUUAUUUUUCUGGAUUUAGUUAGAGUUUUUGUUUGAUUGAUGCUGACGAAGAAAAUGGGUUUAAUUAGGUUUUUUUUAUUAGAAUUAUUAGUGUUUUAUUUCAUAAAUUGAUCAAUGGAGAACCUAAACCAGAGAGACAUAAAGAGAGAAAAUGAAGCCAAUAUCCCUAUGGUUCCUGGCUGUUUGAAUUUAACGCGUAAAAUAGCCUUUUCACCUGUCUAUUUUUUUUUUUGAUACAAGAACGAUGUUCCGACGAAUUUUCAUCUGUUCUUCUCCGAUCAAUUUUUGCUUUUACGCAGGAACCUUGAAUUGCUUUACAAAAAAAAAAAGGAACCUUGAUAUUUUGAUUGUCUGCCUCUUUUAUUUUGAUUCUUCCUUGCUUCCAUGACGUUUUUCAUUUAGGUUUGUUGAUUUUUAUUCAGAUUUUAAACCAGGCCAAAGUAAAACGAUUAGUUAGUGAAAUUUAUUAGCUUUAGUAAUUUUUUUGGUUUGGAGAUUGAUAGAUUAAUGGGAAGCUUAUCUUCUUUAUCUUAUCUAGAUUCUAGCAGCUUUCCCGCGUAACUCUUCUCAGAUUUGUAUUUGAUUAGGCUUUUUGAUUAUUUUUCUGGUGUGGUUUGAUUAGGGUUUUUAGUUUUUGAUGUUGUUUUCUUCACUACUUUGGUUAGAGAACAUGAAUAGGAGCUCUCUCUCCAUCUCGCAAUUUUUUUUUGAUUAGGUUGCUCGGCAACAAAGUUUUAAAUUCUUGCACCACCCUCUUCAGGUAAUUGUGAAAUUUUGAUUUUGAAUAUCCUUUAUAACUCAGCAAUGGAGUAUAUUACAAUGGUUGUUUUUGUUUUGUACAUUUAGAAUUGUGUAACAGAUCCCGAUUAACCUAAUAUCCAAAACAUUAUGUUAUUCCACUCUGAUAUUCUUCCAGAUAUGUAUUUUUCUAGAUACACAUUAACUUGGACCUUUGUUAUGUCCGACAAGGGAAACCCUUGAAGUAUUAAGAUUCCCCUUUUUCAACUACUAAGUUUAAUAUCAUUCUUGAACUUCUGAACUCUUAAAUCUCUCUUUGUUAGUGCAUAUUUAACUGUUAAAGCAUAAAAUUAACUACAAGAAUGUAUAUCUAUUUUUGUCUGUCAAACUUCUCCAUGUUUUCUACUACUGAAGUGUUUUUGUUUCCUUUUAUUCCGUAGGAAUUCAAUGAAGAUUUUGUCUCUUUUGGGUUUCUUAAUUAGCUUAUGAGUGAAUUGCAGUACUGGAAUAAUGACAAGCAAGUAUUACUAUAAUUGUAUAGUAUUGGCAUUUAUAUGGUUUGAAGCUGUGUUUAUUUUUCCGUGUACUCGAUUCUCAAUUCUUUCUAUACACGUUGGGAACUAUGCAGCUUUAUGGGACUCGAACAAAAACCACCACAAGAUUUAGAUUUGUAACCAACUGCCUCAUUAUUUUCUUCGAUAUACUAAAAAUAUCAUUAGACUUUGAGUCAACUGCCUAGGUAUCUUGGAUCGUUUAUUUUCGUAUGUCAUUUAUUAGGAUCUACUGUUCAAAUAAAUUGAAUAUUUUGGAAGAGAAUUCGUAGUUGCUUGAACUGUCAGAACAUUUGGUGGUCUUCUGCUAAUGCUAGCAAACACGGACCCAAUUCAACAUUGUUAGAACAUUUAGGACCAUAAUGACACUCUGGCUUCGAAGUAACAUUUUUGGUACCAAAACCAAUAAAAGUUAUCAUGGUUUCUUCUUUUAAGUAUUUGGUAUAGAAUCCAAGUAAAAAAGUUGAAUAACAAGGCACCAAUUUACAUGGCAUAGCUGAAGAGUUUCAAUAUCAUUGUCUUUGGGGUCUCAUGGAAGUGAAACCUAAUGGGUUUUUCUAUCUCUUUAGUCAGUAUUUCAUAUUGAAAAUGUGACAGUAUAACUUCGUGGAACCAAACGAAAUACCAAAGACAAGCAUACCAUACCAAGUAUGGUGCACGAAUUGAUAGAUUAAUUAAAAAAACAUUAAAACAGGCAGAAUGAUACAGAACGUUUACCUGUAUCAAGAGGUCUCCUUCCCAUUGGACAUCUGCCAUGUGAAGGAAGCUAAUAAUUGAUUUGGUAAUAAUUGAUUUGGUUCUAUUACAGGUUCCUUACCCUAAAAUGAUAUUCAAUGAAUUUGUGCAAGAGCGUUGUCUCCAAAAGUCCGGUAAGAACCUGAACAAAUUAUCUUUGUGGACUCUCUCCUCUUCACAGACCGACCUAAGAAUAAUAUAACAAGGAAUCCAGUAGUCGCAUCCGGCAAUGUGAUUACCAACAUUGGGUUGGAUGGAGCCUGCAGAUUCAAUAGUUGACACUUUUGGUUCAAUGUCCAUUCCAACGUAACCUCAUUACUGAACCAUUCUUUGCCAUUUUACUUUCUUAUAUUCGUCGACCUACACAUUUGGCAUUAACUGUAUGUAUCUGCUGUUGUAUACAUAUCCAUUCAUGCUUAAAAUUUUACGUCGUACUAUCUAGAAGAAUUUUGUGGACCGUCUGAUGAUGAUGACGACAUGGAUACACAGAGUAUUGUAAACCAGAAAGCUGAUCUAGACCUAUCUGGCUAGGCAAUAAGCAAGUCUCAUUGAAACUGCACUGGCUGGGCCAUAAGCAGGACUCAUUAAAACUGCAGUAAUGCACACCUUUGUUCCAUCUACUUAUGAUGGAACAGCAUGUCCGAAGAUCAUCUGUCUCCUACAUUGCUAAGAAGUCAACCUUAUAUGAGAUGUGAUAGCUAUUGAGAGGUGCAAAGCAGAUUCGUUGGAGAUAUCACACUUUGCCUUACAAAUGCUGACCUACGAAGUGUAUGCAACAAUCAGUGAAUAUGCGAAAAAUCAAUGAACCACUGAACUGUUCAUGCUUGGUGAAAAAUCAUAUAUCAUGCUUGGCGAAAAGGCAUAGAUGGUAGUUAGGAAUAUGAUUACCAGAAAGUAAGGGAAUUCAAAACACAUGGGUGGUGGUGGGUUUAGGACCCUCUCUAGAGAAUAUGGUUCCUGGGAUUGGGAUUCCCUUCCCACCAUCCAAAUAUGUUGUACGUGAUCACACCUAGAAGAUUUACACAAGGCCUUGAAGCUUUAUGAAGAAGAACAGGUAGCAGCUGGAUCCUAAACAAUUUUUUUUGGCAAACACUUAGAGGUAAUUCUGAUGGCAAGAAAAACCUUUAAAUCUGGCCACUCAACUUAUUCAAAUCUUCAUCCGCUUUCAAACUACAUAACCUUUAAAUAUGAGUGGGUCAUAUUCUUUGUUAUUUGCGGCUGUUCGAUGCAAGUUUGUUUUUUACAUAGUUUCUGGAUCCUUUUCCUCAUCUUUCAGAGCACUUUAAACACGGUAAAGGGUUCUAUGUUUUUUUUUAAAUUCUGUUUGAUUUUUCAAAUUUAGAUUUGUAUUAUUGUUUAUGUAACUGUGUAUAUUGCAACAAUAUCUAAUUGGGUGUAUGGCGCAUCGACUUAUCUAUUGUACGAGAUUGCUGAAUUUGGUGAUUUAUGUUAUGUGAAAUUAAAGUUUUUCAACUGCUCUGAUUUCCAAUUCAUUGUUGAAAAGCUGUAAUCAUCUCUUCAGACUAAACUUAAUUGGGUAUAUAUCUCAGCACCUGCUGUAGCUUAUUUAGGACGUCUCGCAGCUGAUUUAUGGGCGAUGGACGAAGUGAUUUUUCCUGCAAACAUAUUCAUAUUCGAUUGGAUUCCUAUCUUGGAAUUUAAGGGUUCAAAUGUAUUCUGGAGAACACCACAACCCUGAGUAUGUUAUGAAAUGGUAUCUGCUGUCUUAGCUCAAACGGAAGAGCACAUGGUUCUCAACCAUGUAGUUGUGGUCGACUCCUACAGAUGGCAUUAUAUGUGAGUAGGCAGCGCUGUAUACUGCCAAUGGUUUCGUUAUUUGAUUCUCUCGGAGUGGGACUCCAACAUAAGAUUUGGAUGAAUAAUAAACUCUUGGCUAUACUCUUGAGGUUUUGUUCUCUCGGAGUGGGACUCCAACAUAACAUAUGGAUGAAUAAUAAACUCUUGGCUAUACUCUUGAGGUUUUGUUCUUGAAGAAGCACGAUUCUGCCGUCAGCGCAUAUUUAACCAGAUGAAGUUUUGUUACAGAGUUCUUCAUUUAUUCUAUUAGGUGCACUUUGGUUUCAUUCAGUUUUUGAAGGGAUAGCCAUUGGAAUUGCAGGUAUUCUACUAACCGUUGCAAUAUGAAACUGGACAAGACGUUCACAUACUUAGAAACGAUCCUGGGCUUGAUUGAGGGUGGAGAGUGGUUCCACAUGGUACAUAAGAAAUGCAGUAAAAAAGUUGAUUAUGAUGAUGAGUCUUCCUGCAGCAAGUACAAAAAAGAUUUUGAAGAAGUGCCAUGGCAAUUGUAAUCCACAAAUUAAACCUAGCCGCAAGGGAUGCCACAUCAACUGCGGUAUUUACUGUGAUGGGAGAGACUGCGGAAAAAAACGGCGGAAAGUAGAUUAGAUGCACUGCUGAUGAACAUGUUAAUUACAAGGUACACUGCAGCGAGGUAUGCACAAAUUAGCAUGGAUAAUUGUUAUGAUUGAAUGGAUGUUGUACGGUGGAAUCAUGUUCACCAAGUUAUAUUGUCUAAUUGGAGGUCAACUAAGCAGAGCAGGCAGAAAGUUGAUUUAACAAGAUCAAGAUGAAACUCUUAUUUUCAAAUUGGUCAGUAGGUAGUGCAGUAUAACCAACCAAUCUGGCAAAUUCACAGUUCUAAAAUUUUUCGAAGUCAGAUAAUUUUGAAUCGAAAGAUUCAGAUUCAGUUGCAGAUAACAAGGUACAACAUUAAUUAGGUACGGUAUGAUACGGAUUUCGUCCUGUCCACAGGAUCCAGACGCAGAAAAUGGUGUGCCACCUAUCAAGGAGAAAGAGGAAAAAGUUAAGAGAGGAAGGAAGAGGAAACCAACAACUAAAGUUGGAGUAACAGCAUGAAAGCACCAAGGAUACCAGUCAAAACCGGUCAAAGCCGGAUAACUAUCAGGGAGACGAGCUUCAAGAUGUCAUCCCCAAGAAUCUUCCAAAUAAGAGAUAAAGAUAGUUGAUCCAUGAAUAUUCGAUCUUUCUGUUUGCCAAACUCGACCUUUCGGGGAGAAACCAAGGCCUUCGGACUGCAAAUUUAAAUUACCUCAGGGAGUUGUAAAUUACCACUGGACCAAGUAUUGUUCUAUGUAUACUUUUAACCUAGGAAUCUACGAUGGCGUAGGGCUGAGUGUGCAUAAAAAAUCAAAAUAGGCUAAAUACAUUUGGUGAAUAAAAAUCUUAAAUUUAUAUGUAUACUUUUAACCUACAAAAACUGAUGAUUUUUCUAAGCUUAAACCGUUAUAUGCUUCUUAGAA